rnacentral:misc_RNA from 1 species
CAUUUUACUGAUUUUUCUUUUUCUUUUUAAUCCUCACGGAUUAUUUUGGGCCAGGGUGUUGGCGUCGAAACGAGCUUUCCGAAAAGUACUCACGGGGCCCGCGAGUCCAUCGGGAUCGAAAGUUAGGCAGCCGAACGUAGAGACGCGCGAAUUAUGUUUAUCAAGCAAUUUCGAAUAUUUUGUGUUUCGUCGUAUGUAAAUAGUAUUCAGUUAAUUGAGUCGGGCUCGGGAAAUUACGUCAAUUGAGUCGUUUAAAAGCCGGAAGUUGAACACUCUAGACUUGCUCUCGAGAAGAGAAAUCGAGUCGGUUCAAGUAAAUUUGGAAUGCAUCACAUGAC